rnacentral:rRNA from 1 species
UACGAAGGGUGCAAACGUUGCUCGGAAUUAUUGGGCGUAAAGAGCUCGUAGGCGGUUUGUCGCGUCUGCCGUGAAAGUCCGGGCUCAACUCCGGAUCUGCGGUGGGUACGGGCAGACUAGAGUGAUGUAGGGGAGACUGGAAUUCCUGGUGUAGCGGUGAAAUGCGCAGAUAUCGGGAGGAACACCGAUGGCGAAGGCAGGUCUCUGGGCAUUAACUGACGCUGAGGAGCGAAAGCAUGGGGAGCGAACAGG